CACGUAGGGCGCAAGCGUUGUCCGGAAUUAUUGGGCGUAAAGAGCGUGUAGGCGGCCAGGUAGGUCGGCUGUGAAAACUCGAGGCUUAACCUCGAGCUGUCGGCGGAAACCAUCUGGCUAGAGUCCGGAAGAGGAGAAUGGAAUUCCCGGUGUAGCGGUGAAAUGCGCAGAUAUCGGGAAGAACACCCGUGGCGAAGGCGGUUCUCUGGGACGGUACUGACGCUGAGACGCGAAAGCGUGGGGAGCGAACAGG
rnacentral:rRNA from 1 species